CAGUCGCCACGGUAAUACGAAGGGGGCUAGCGUUGUUCGGAAUCACUGGGCGUAAAGCGCACGUAGGCGGAUUUUUAAGUCAGGGGUGAAAUCCCGAGGCUCAACCUCGGAACUGCCUUUGAUACUGGAGAUCUUGAGUUCGGAAGAGGUUGGUGGAACAGCUAGUGUAGAGGUGAAAUUCGUAGAUAUUAGCUAGAACACCAGUGGCGAAGGCGGCCAACUGGUCCGACACUGACGCUGAGGUGCGAAAGCGUGGGGAGCAAACAGGAUUAGAUACCCCAGUAGUCCCUGUCUCUUAUAC
rnacentral:rRNA from 1 species